rnacentral:lncRNA from 1 species
ACCUUUGCUGCUGGAGCAGCUGGCUUAGCCUUCGAUGGCGUCGGUGCUUUCUUUCCCGGAGUUGUCCUUGUAGACGUCCUGGCAGCCUUAGCAGGUCUUGCAGCCGGCUUCGACUUCGGCUUCACUGCCGGUUUGGCCUUAGGCUUAGGUUUUGGCUUAGCAGCGACAGCUUUGGGCGCAGCAGGGGCUUUUCGAGGAACCGCCUUUGGCUUCACAGCAGCCUUCGGCUUGGCAGGAGCUGCUUUCGGCUUGACAGGAGCUGCUUUCGACUUGGCAGCAGCCUUCGGUUUGGUGGUAGCCUUAGGCUUCGGCUUAGCUGCAGCUUUCGGCUUCGCUGGUGCUUUCGCAGGCUUUGUUGGCUUCGGUUUUGCUGCGGCGGGCUUCUUAGCUGCCUUCGAUGGGGCCGAUCGAGAACUCGGAAGUUUGUACGAGUUCUUCACCUUCACGAGCUUUUCAGAAGCCACGAGCUUCUUCAAAUGCACGAGCAAAAGCUUCCUGAAAUUCGAAGGCAACUUCUU